rnacentral:rRNA from 1 species
GCAAUAUAGUGAUAUGGAGCAAAACCCUAAAAAGCGGUCUCAGUUCGGAUUGAAGGCUGAAAUUCGCCUUCAUGAAGCUGGAAUUGCUAGUAAUGGCAGGUCAGCAUACUGCCGUGAAUACGUUCCCGGGCCUUGUACACACCGCCCGUCACACCAUGGGAGUUGGAAAUGCCCGAAGUCAGUGACCCAACCGAAAGGAGGGAGCUGCCGAAGGCAGGUUCGAUAACUGGGGUGAAGUCGUAACAAGGUACC